rnacentral:rRNA from 1 species
CGGCGGACGGGUGAGUAACACGUGGGUCAACCUCGCCUAUAAGAACUGGGAUAACUUCGGGAAACCGGAGCUAAUACCGGAUACGUUCUUUUCUCGCAUGAGAGAAGAUGGAAAGACGGUUUACGCUGUCACUUAUAGAUGGGCCCGCGGCGCAUUAGCUAGUUGGUGAGGUAAUGGCUCACCAAGGCGACGAUGCGUAUCCGACCUGAGAGGGUGAUAAACCACACUGGGACUGAGACACGGCCCACACUCCUAGGGGAGGCAGCGGUAGGUAUUCUUCCGCAAUGGACGAAAGUCUGACGGAGCACCGCCGCGUGAACAAAGAAGGCCUUCGGGUCAUAAAGUUCUGUUGUUAGGGAAGAACAAGUACCAGAGUAGGUGCUGGUACCUUGACGGUACCUAACAAGAAAGCCACGGUUAACUACGUGCCAGCAGCCGCGGUAAUACGUAGGUGGCAAGCGUUGUCCGAAAUUAUUGGGCGUAAAGCGCGCGCAGGUGGUUCCUUAAGUCUGAUGUGAAAGCCCACGGCUCAACCGUGGAGGGUCAUUGGAAACUGGGGAACUUGAGUGCAGAAGAGGAAAGUGGAAUUCCAAGUGUAGCGGUGAAAUGCGUAGAGAUUUGGAGGAACACCAGUGGCGAAGGCGACUUUCUGGUCUGUAACUGACACUGAGGCGCGAAAGCGUGGGGAGCAAACAGGAUUAGAUACCCUGGUAGUCCACGCCGUAAACGAUGAGUGCUAAGUGUUAGAGGGUUUCCGCCCUUUAGUGCUGCAGCUAACGCAUUAAGCACUCCGCCUGGGGAGUACGGCCGCAAGGCUGAAACUCAAAGGAAUUGACGGGGGCCCGCACAAGCGGUGGAGCAUGUGGUUUAAUUCGAAGCAACGCGAAGAACCUUACCAGGUCUUGACAUCCUCUGACAACCCUAGAGAUAGGGCUUUCCCCUUCGGGGGACAGAGUGACAGGUGGUGCAUGGUUGUCGUCAGCUCGUGUCGUGAGAUGUUGGGUUAAGUCCCGCAACGAGCGCAACCCUUGAUCUUAGUUGCCAGCAUUCAGUUGGGCACUCUAAGGUGACUGCCGGUGACAAACCGGAGGAAGGUGGGGAUGACGUCAAAUCAUCAUGCCCCUUAUGACCUGGGCUACACACGUGCUACAAUGGAUGGUACAAAGGGCUGCAAACCUGCGAAGGUAAGCGAAUCCCAUAAAGCCAUUCUCAGUUCGGAUUGUAGGCUGCAACUCGCCU